rnacentral:rRNA from 1 species
GUCCACGCUGUAAACGAUGGGUGCUAGGUGUGGGCGGUGUCGACUCCGUCCGUGCCGAAGCUAACGCAUUAAGCACCACGCCUGGGGAGUACGGCCGCAAGGCUAAAACUCAAAGGAAUUGACGGGGGCCCGCACAAGCAGCGGAGCAUGUUGUUUAAUUCGACGCGACGCGAAGAACCUUACCAGGGCUUGACAUGCACGGGAAUGUCGUAGAAAUACGGCAGCCCUUCGGGGCUCGUGCACAGGUGGUGCAUGGCUGUCGU